CAGGUGUAGCGGUGAAAUGCGUAGAUAUCUGGAAGAACACCAGUGGCGAAGGCGGCUCUCUGGACUGUAACUGACGCUGAGGCGCGAAAGCUGGGGGAGCAAACAGGAUUAGAUACCCUGGUAGUCCCAGCCGUAAACGAUGAACACUAGGUGUAGGGGGUAUCGACCCCUCCUGUGCCGCAGUUAACGCAGUAAGUGUUCCGCCUGGGGAGUACGGCCGCAAGGCUGAAACUCAAAGGAAUUGACGGGGGCCCGCACAAGCGGUGGAGCAUGUGGUUUAAUUCGAUGCAACGCGAAGAACCUUACCAGGGCUUGACAUCCCUCUGACGGGUCUAGAGAUAGGCCUUCCCUUUGGGCAGAGGAGACAGGUGGUGCAUGGCUGUCGUCAGCUCGUGUCGUGAGAUGUUGGGUUAAGUCCCGCAACGAGCGCAACCCUUGCCUUUAGUUGCCAUCAUUAAGUUGGGCACUCUAGAGGGACUGCCGGCGACAAGUCGGAGGAAGGUGAGGUUGACGUCAAGUCAUCAUGCCCCUUAUGUCCUGGGCUACACACGUGCUACAAUGGGCAGUACAGAGGGGAGCGAAGGGGUGACCUGGAGCAAAUCCCAAAAAGCUGCUCUCAGUUCGGAUUGCAGUCUGCAACUCGACUGCAUGAAGUCGGAAUCGCUAGUAAUCUCGGGUCAGCAUACCGAGGUGAAUACGUUCCCGGGCCUUGUACACACCGCCCGUCACACCACGAAAGUUUGUCACACCCGAAGUCGGUGACCCAACCUUUUAGGAGGGAGCCGCCGAAGGUGGGGCAGAUGAUUGGGGUGAAGUCGUAACAAGGUAGCCGUA
rnacentral:rRNA from 1 species